rnacentral:rRNA from 1 species
GGUGCUGCAUGGCUGUCGUCAGCUCGUGUCGUGAGAUGUUGGGUUAAGGUCCCGCAACGAGCGCAACCCCUCGCAUUCAGUUGCCAUCGGGUGAAGCCGGGCACUCUGGAAGGACUGCCAUCGACAAGAUGGAGGAAGGUGGGGACGGACGCCAAGUCAUCAUGGCCCUUAUGUCCAGGGCGACACACGUGCUACAAUGGCCGGCACGAACGGAAGCGAGUUCGCGAGGACGAGCGGAUCCCUUAAAGCCGGUCGCAGUUCGGAUUGAAGUCUGCAACUCGACUUCAUGAAGCUGGAAUCGCUAGUAAUCGCAGAUCAGCCAAGCUGCGGUGAAUACGUUCCCGGGCCUU